GGGGUUGUGGCUCAGCGGUAGAGCUCCCGCCUUGCAUGUGUGAGAUCCUGGGUUUGAUCCUCAGCACCACA
rnacentral:tRNA from 1 species